UGUGUGUUAGUGGAAGCGUCUGGAAAGGCGCGCGAUACAGGGUGACAGCCCCGUACACAAAAAUGCACAUGCUGUGAGCUCGAUGAGUAGGGCGGGACACGUGGUAUCCUGUCUGAAUAUGGGGGGACCAUCCUCCAAGGCUAAAUACUCCUGACUGACCGAUAGUGAACCAGUACCGUGAGGGAAAGGCGAAAAGAACCCCGGCGAGGGGAGUGAAAAAGAACCUGAAACCGUGUACGUACAAGCAGUGGGAGCACGCUUAGGCGUGUGACUGCGUACCUUUUGUAUAAUGGGUCAGCGACUUAUAUUCUGUAGCAAGGUUAACCGAAUAGGGGAGCCGAAGGGAAACCGAGUCUUAACUGGGCGUUAAGUUGCAGGGUAUAGACCCGAAACCCGGUGAUCUAGCCAUGGGCAGGUUGAAGGUUGGGUAACACUAACUGGAGGACCGAACCGACUAAUGUUGAAAAAUUAGCGGAUGACUUGUGGCUGGGGGUGAAAGGCCAAUCAAACCGGGAGAUAGCUGGUUCUCCCCGAAAGCUAUUUAGGUAGCGCCUCGUGAAUUCAUCUCCGGGGGUAGAGCACUGUUUCGGCAAGGGGGUCAUCCCGACUUACCAACCCGAUGCAAACUGCGAAUACCGGAGAAUGUUAUCACGGGAGACACACGGCGGGUGCUAACGUCCGUCGUGAAGAGGGAAACAACCCAGACCGCCAGCUAAGGUCCCAAAGUCAUGGUUAAGUGGGAAACGAUGUGGGAAGGCCCAGACAGCCAGGAUGUUGGCUUAGAAGCAGCCAUCAUUUAAAGAAAGCGUAAUAGCUCACUGGUCGAGUCGGCCUGCGCGGAAGAUGUAACGGGGCUAAACCAUGCACCGAAGCUGCGGCAGCGACACUAUG
rnacentral:rRNA from 1 species